rfam:Candidatus Amesbacteria bacterium RIFCSPLOWO2_01_FTLL_48_25 rifcsplowo2_01_scaffold_7252, whole genome shotgun sequence.
GGAGGAUAUGCCGAUCGGCUAAGGCAAUGGUUUGCUAAACCAUGAACGCGCAAGCGUUCGGUGGGUUCGACUCCCACAUCCUCCG